GUGAGAUGAAGGCUGGAGCAUCUGAGAGUUCUUUGCUCAGUGUCAAAUCAUACUGACACUUGACGAUUCCUUCCUUGGUUUUGCCUAUGCAGGUGAGGAUUCCUUCAUCUCUGUGACUGGCUUGCUUGAUGGUUAGGGUCUGAUCGCUGCCUGAGACACCAUAUCGGUACUCCUCAGAGUUGGUGAUCACAGGAUCUGGUUUGCCACUGAAAGGAAUCUUGAUGCUGACCACUUCACCUCGGAGAGCAUGAACUGCUCCCAUGCCUUCAAGAGUUUUAGGUAAGUGUAUCUUAGCUGGAACU
rnacentral:lncRNA from 1 species